rnacentral:lncRNA from 1 species
GAUAGUCAAUUCUCCAAUGGCAUCCGGCAAAUUCCUCCACCUCAAGUUCUUGAGUAUUCUUCUUAUGAGUGGAUCUAAUUUUGACAAGGACUAUGAUUAUUUAUCGUUGGUUCCUGUUUUCCAAGCAUCUCCUUCCCUGGAGAUGUUUUGCUUGUUUGUAAGUUCGCUUGUUCACCCUUUCCUCAAAAAAGGGGGAAAAAGCCACUGCAUCCUGCAAUGAUUAUCUGCUAACCAUGUUUGGAUCAUCAAUUUAAAUACCUUGGCUUUUGAUCUUCAGGUAUGGGAGCACUCCAUGUAUCACUGGUUUGAGGGAGAUCCUGCCUCUCUUAGGCGACUGCCACAACACUGCCAUGGGAACCUCAAGAGUGUGAAGAUCAUUGGUUUCUUCCCCCAAAAGAGCAUGAUUGAGCUGGCAUGCCAUCUUCUCGAGAAUGCAACGUCACUUGAGUCCCUUACAGUGGAUGCUAGUCCUGCUAAUUACCGGUGUUCUGGCAAGGGCAGGAAAUGCUGUCCCCUGAAAGCUACAGCUAUAGUGAAGGCACGUAAAUCAAUCUUGGCUGUGAAAAAAUACAUCAAGGGGAAUGUUCCCUCUACAGUCAAGUUAAAUGUUCCGAAGCCUUGCCAACGAUGCCAUCGCUUUUAGUAAUUCAGGUGUCAAAUCACUGUAGCUAUCUGAUACUAUUGAAUGGUGAUAUGUUUUAGUUGUCUUGUGCUAUGUUACAUUCAAGUCACCAGAGCUGUUUAGGCGUCUGUGAUAUUACCUUCCUGAUAACUUUGUUUACCAGACUGUCCAAUGUACGUAAUAUUACUGCUGUCCAUUAAAUAUUGUUGUGAACUUGUAUUGUAUAAAUUUAUAUUUGCCAUACUUUCUAUAUCUUUGAAUGGUAAUAGUGUAAUACACACUUCAUCUUUGCCUUGACCUGUAUGCAGUCACGUUUCUGCCUGACUGGACAUACAAGAGAAGUAAAACAAGACAUAUGAAGUGAUGCAAAUAAGUGUUAAACAUAUGCAUCAAGGUAGAGCACCGUCCUUUCUAAAAAAGGGUAAAGCAUCUUUGUUUGUGUAUAUAUCAGUUUAAAUGUGCAAAGGCCAAAGGGUUCCCCAGGCGCCACCCUUUUGGCGUGCCUCGGCAAAAGGAACACUUCUCCCCACCUUUCAUUAUUAAUCUUCUCAUGGAGAAUUAUGUGCUGGACUGAAAAAUGGGAGUUCUGAACCUGCUAUACUGCACUCGACACCUGCUUCGGUUUGCUGUACUGAACUGUAUUCUUGCAUUGUGUUUCUGAAAGUUCUGAUGCCAAGACACUGGUUGAUUUGCUGUACCGAACUAUAUUCUGCCCUGCGAUUUCUUAAAAGUUUUAAUAAUGCCAAGACCAAUGCAAUGUAUGAUGUAGCAGUUCAUACUAGGCUUAUAAGAUGCUGACAUUUGGAGCUAAUUUGAAUUCCAUGUGUACAUGGCCUGCUAUCUCGUAUGUUGCACUUCUGAAACUGUUUAGACUGUUUUUGAUUUCUCAUGGUGGCAAACAAGCCAGAUAUCCGGGCACGUUCCAGAGGUAUGUUCUCAGCAGAAUAGCUAAAUAGAAAAUUGUUACAGCAUUCCUGUUUUAUGUCAUUCUUGUUCCUAACCUUGGCUGAAUCUUGCUGAUUAUAACAUCCUAUCCCAGCUUUUACCUCUCUAUUUUUCAUGAUGUUCUUCUCUACUUGUGCACGCGUGCAGGAAAUUUGGUGUCGUAUACAUUUCCUACUGCCAAUUCAAGACGCGGCCCGUGCUGCCUGUGUUUCUCGCUCCUUCCUACACUCCUGGAGAUGCCAUCCCAAUCUCACCUUCACCAACGAAACGAUGUGCCCCAAAGAAGAUUUAAAAGCAGCGGGAUCGAACGCUAUUAUAAGAGACUACAACAAAAUCGACCGUGUUCUGAGGAACCGCUCGUGCGCUGAUGGCCGUGACGAAACUCAAGCUUGACUACCACGUUCCUCCUGAUGAUGCUGAAUGGUAUCAUCGUCUUGAUAGCUGGCUCCAGAUGGCUGUUAUGCCGACGACCAAAGAACUCGAGCUUCUAGUAUGGUCGAAAGAGGCGAGCUUUGAUUUCCCAUACACACUACUAUCUGACAGGUGUGGGGGCUCGAUUCAGAAGCUUCUCCUUUUCAGAUGUGCCUUACGUCCCACAUUUCAACUUGGUUUGAGAAGCCUGAAAACGCUGCAUCUGCGUGAUGUGCGUGUUACGGGGGAGGAGUUAGGGUGCCUUCUGUCCAGUUCCACUGCUUUGGAGCACCUGAAGCUCGUCUAUUGCGAUGAUAUAGUUCGCCUGGAGCUACCUUGCCUGCUGCGGCGACUCAGCUUCCUGGAGGUGGCUGGAUGCAUGAGUCUUCAAGUGACAGAACAAAGCUCCAAAUCUCUCCAGAUUUUACCUUGGAGCGGGUGAACGGGUGCAAGUCUCAUUUGGAGAGUCGAAAGUGAAGAAAGUGCAGUUGGUGCAGAGUUGUGCCAUCAGUUAUGCUACUGACAACCUUCCUUCCCGUGCACCGAAUCUUGAGACUCUUACCAUAUCUUCUACUUGUGAGGUAUGCUCUUACUCUUAAGUUGGCAAACGUACAUAUUACAGUAGCCGAAUGUCGGAAUAUUUAACCUGAGACACCUUUGUGCAGAGAAUCAAUGCACCAAUGGUGGCAUCUAGCAAAUUCCUCCACCUCAAGUUCUUGAGUAUUCUUCUUAUGAGUGGAUCUAACUUUGACAAGGACUACGAUUAUUUAUCGUUGGUUCCUUUUUUCCCAAGCAUCUCCUGCCCUGGAGACGUUUCGCUUGUUUGUAAGUUCGCCGUUCACCCUUUCCUCAAAAAAAGAAGAAGGGAAAAAGGCACUGCAUCCUGCAAUGAUUAUCUGAUAACCAUGUUUGGAUCAUCAAUUUAAAUACCUUGGCUUUUGAUCAUCAGGUAGCGGAGCACUCCAUGUAUCACUGGUUUAAGGGAGAUCCUGCCUCUCUGAGGCGACUGCCACAACACUGCCAUGGGAACCUCAAGAGUGUUAUGAUCAUUGGUUUCUUCCCGCAAAAGAGCAUGAUUGAGCUGGCAUGUCAUCUUCUCGAGAAUGCAACGUCACUUGAGUCCCUUACAGUGGAUGCUAGUCCUGCUGAUUACUGUUGUUCUGGCAGUAAACCGGGCAGGAAAUGCUGUCCCCGGAAAGCUACAGCUAUAGUGAAGGCACGUAAAUCGGUCUUGGCUGUGAAAAAAUACAUUGAGGGGAAUGUUCCCUCUACAGUCUAGUUAAAUGUUCCAGAGCCUUGCUGACCAUGCCAUCGCUUUGAGUAAUUCAGGUGUCAAAUUAUUGUAGCUAUCUGAUACUAUUUAAUGGUGAUAUGUUUUAGUUGUCUUGUGCUAUGUUACAUUCAAGUCGCCAGAGCUGUUUAGGAGUCUAUGAUAUUACAUUCUUGAUAAUUUUGUUUACCAGACUGUCCAAUGUACUUAAUAUUACUGCUGUCCAUUAAAUAUUGUCGUGAACUUGUAUUGUAUAAUUUUAUAUUUGCCAUACUUCCUAUCUUGGAAUGGUAAUAGUGUAAUAC